CGGUUCUUGUUAGAUCCCCGAAGUCAAGCAUCAUUGGGCGCGGUCAGUACUUGGGAGGUGACCACCUGGGAACACCGCGUGCCGUU
rnacentral:rRNA from 1 species